AUGAGUCAAUCAAGCUCACCACCAGGGAAAAAUGGCGGCGACGGCUACAUCUGCAACUGCGGCGCGAUGAAGAUGGGCGGCGUCGGCUGCCACUGCGGCUCCUACCUACUAUCCAAAUCCAAAGGAAAUGAACUAAAUAGGCCACAAAGGGAGAUGGUGAUGUACAAGAUCUCUAAGAUAGGGCGCGAAUUACCUGUGUUUGUGCAGAAGAUGACGAAAAAUGAUAUACUGAGUCCAAACCUGUAUUUUUGCAAGGCAUAUGUUUCGAGGUGUCUCCCGCGCCAACAAGAGGGCAACCAAAUAAUACCUCUCAAAGUUUUGCUGGAAGGUAUGCAGAUGGACGCAAAGCUGGUCUUCACGAAAUAUUCCCAUGGGACGUGGCCUACUAUAUAUCGAAAAGACUGGAAGAAAUUGAUCGAAGAUGCCGGGAUGAAGGCGGGAGACAUCUGCCUCUUCCAAGUUGUAGACAGGAGCAGCAGCGGGCUCACGAUGAUGGUCCAUAUGAUCCGCAAGUCGGAAAUGCUGCCUCGCAAGGAAGGAAGCACCAGCGUCGAGGCCAGCGAGCCUCGCGCGGAGGAGACACGCUUGGCCCAGCCGGGAGGAGACGCCGGCAAGCCUCGCGCGGAGGAGACCCACUCCUCCCCGGCGGGAGGAUACGUCGGCAAGCCUCGCGCUGAGCCCUCCGGAGGGAGCGACAGCGACAGCCGCCCCCAUCUGAAUGUGAAGAGGAGUCUCUCGCCUUCACCUGGCGAGUCCCUUCAAAAGGAGAAGAAGAUGCAGUUAGGGGCCACGACGUCCACCGAGUCCUCAGCGAAGGCGCCCGCUGAGGAGACCCAUGCGCCCCUGUCGAGCCCUGAGGGGCGUGAGGAGAUGGCCCGCCAUGUUGAGGCGGCGACGGGGCAGACGGUGACCGAGGAUGAUUGUGUGACUUCGCAGCCGCACCAAGACUUGCCUCCCCCAGCUGGGAGGAACGAGCUUCGCAAGGGAAGGGGCCUCCGGAGGUGA
rnacentral:rRNA from 1 species